UUCACUCAAAACAAAAUAGUUGCCCAUCCGGAACAAAUCGUAGGACUUGCAGUGCUAUUACUAGAAAAUAAAAUAAAAAAGACGUUCGCUGGCCAACGUGGAAGCCAGCUUAGCCGUCCUACCCUGACCCAUGCGGCCACCUCAGCGCACGCGUGGGCACUGUAGCCAACUACAGCCCGUGUGUGCAUAUACUUGGUCUUGGUCUUCCUCUUCUUCCCCGCGCGCUCCUCCCCCAUUCCCCCGGCGACCAACCCCGUCCUCCUCCUCCGGCCCAUCUCCGCCGCGAGCCUAAGAGCUGAACAAUGGCGAAGAUCAAGCCAAAGGCAUUGCUGGCACAGAGCAAGCAGAAGAAGGGCCCUACUCAGAUCGGCCUGGUGAGGAUCAUCACCUACAUCGUCCUCGGCGCCCUAGCAGUGUCCUCCGUUUACUAUGCCUAUCAGUACUGGCAGAGCAAAGGAGCGGCCGUUGCGGCAGCAGCAGGAGCAGCAGAAGGCGUCGUGGGGAACUAAAGCCCCAGGAACGUAGUUGAUUUUGCUGCUGUUGUUGUAUUGUCUUGUCAGUUUUUUCUGGUUGUCGCAGUCCGGUAAAUUUGUGGAACAUUGACAGAGCAUGCGACGCUUAGUGUAUCCCCCUGUAAAUUGCCUUAACAUUUAUGCUUAUAUUUCCUUCUUCGA